rnacentral:tRNA from 1 species
GGGUUUGUAGCUCAGGUGGUUAGAGCGCGCGCCUGAUAAGCGCGAGGUCGGAAGUUCAAGUCUUCCCAGACCCACCA